GAGGGGAUAGCUCAGUUGUAGAGUGAGUGCUUAGAAUGCACAAUGUCCUGGGUUCAAUCUCCACUCCCUCCA
rnacentral:tRNA from 1 species